GACGAACGCUGGCGGCGUGCUUAACACAUGCAAGUCGAACGGAAAGGCCCUGCGUUUGUGCGGUGCUCGAGUGGCGAACGGGUGAGUAACACGUGAGUAACCUGCCCUUGACUUUGGGAUAACUUCAGGAAACUGGGGCUAAUACCGGAUAGGAGCUCCUGCAGCAUGGUGGGGGUUGGAAAGUUUCGGCGGUUGGGGAUGGACUCGCGGCUUAUCAGCUUGUUGGUGGGGUAGUGGCUUACCAAGGCUUUGACGGGUAGCCGGCCUGAGAGGGUGACCGGCCACAAUGGGACUGAGAUACGGCGCAGACUCGUACGGGAGGCAGCAGGGGGGAAUAUUGCAGAAUGGGCGGAAGCCUGAUGCAGCAAUGCCGCGUGCGGGAUGACGGCUUUCUGGUUGUAAACCGCUGUCGCCUGUGACGAAGAGUGAGUGACGGUAAUGGGUAAAGAAGCACCGGCUAACUACGUG
rnacentral:rRNA from 1 species